UCCCUAGUGGCUCAGAUGGUAAAGAAUCUGCCUGCAAUGCAGGAGACCUGGGUUUGAUCCCUGGGUGGGGAA
rnacentral:tRNA from 1 species